UUUCCGUAGAUGAACCUGCGGAAGGAUCAUUACAGAGUUCAUGCCCUCACGGGUAGAUCUCCCACCCUUGAAUAUUUAUACCUUAGUUGCUUUGGCAGGCCGUGGAAACACCAUGGGCUCCGGCUUAUGCGUGCCUGCCAGAGGAAACAAACUCUGUUUUUAGUGAUGUCUGAGUACUAUAUAAUAGUUAAAACUUCCAACAACGGAUCUCUUGGUUCUG
rnacentral:misc_RNA from 1 species